GUCAACAAGACGCUCAAAACUUAAAAAGUUUUCAAGUGGUUUCCGAUACAAGUGGCUUACAAUUCCAUUUUGAGGUCUCUACAAAGUGAAAAUCAAAGAUUUGAAAUAAAAAUGGAUUCGCAAUCGCAUCAGCGUCGCCGGCAAACGAGUGUAGAGCAGUUGGCGCCGCUUGUUGAUUAUUUAGAACUGCACAAAGACCUAGCUCUAGGAAGAGUAAGGUCAAAAGAAGCUUCGGGCUUUAUCAGCAAGACUAUGGAGAGAGUGUUCCCUUAUAUUAAAUGUUGAGUGACCCACAAGGACGGGAAAAGAGUGGGCUAAGGUCUGGAAUGACCUUUAGUGCCGGGUGCGGGCUAAAUUGGUCAGCAUUAAUGCCAGCCUUCAAGCGACAGGAGGUGGUCCAAGCACUGCCACAUCCCUGACGCCACUUAAGGAUAGGAUUGCAAAUAUCCUAAGCAGAGAUGUUGGCCCCUUACCUAAUGUCAGACAAGAUCCAUUUGCAUUAGUAAAUGAGUGAAUGAAUGAAGAGAAUCCAGUGGAGAGCAUUGAGGAGUAUGUUGUUAGUUACUGAAGAAAUUGAACC